UGACGGUGAAAGGUUGUUCAUCAUCGGGUUUGGUUUUGGGGAGACAUUUUUAGGUGUCUACAAAAGGGAAAGGUGCAGAAAGUUUUUACAAGAAGCAAAAGAUUCCUAAACUUGAAGGUCACAAAGUGUUGAAUAAAGGGGAGGUCUUGAAGACCCAGAGGAAAAUGUAAGCAAGGUAAGAUUUAUAUGUUGGUUGUCUUCAUGGUCAGGGAAUUAUUUGUAUGCCGUUGAAUUUUUUAUCUCCUUUAUUGCUGGUUAUUAUUUCCUAAUUCGCUGUUGUUGACAGUUAACUUUUUAAAUUUGGGACAGUAUCUGAACAUUUUGUGUCAUGUCAAAUCAUUUUGCCGUGCCAUACUAGCAUUUGAUCCAAGGAGUAAACAAUUAGUUAGCAAAAUGGGGUUUGAGGGGUUGCUUGAGUUGGAUAUGAAAAAUAUCUAUCCCUCGGCAGUUUUGCUAUUGGUUAAUGGCAAGAGUUCUUGAGGAUGGCACAAUGGUGUUUGGUGAGGGUGAAAUUUUUCCAUUGUGUGCGAAGCAAGUGAGGUCUGCGUUAGGUAUUCCAAUGGGUUCAAAACCCGUGCCGAGGGAGAUUGGUGAAGAUGAAAACAAGAUAACGAUGGUUAAAUGUUUGUAUGAUGCAUAUGGAAAAGGUACGAAGAAGGAAAUCAUCUCUCUGAAAUCCUUUUUUGAUGUUCUAUGUCCAUUGGACAGUGAAGAGAACCCUAUUCCCCAAGAGGCAGAAGCUGAUGAGGAGGAGUUUAUGGUUGCUUUUUUAAUUGUGGUUUUAGGGAAAUUGCUUUGCAAAAUGACUAAUUCUUCAAAUUUGGCGGCAUCUCUAAUUCCAUGUGUGAUUGUGGCCACUGAUGCUUGUGACUAUGACUAGUGUACGUUCACCUUGGAGUGGCUUUGCGACACAGCACAUCGCUUCCAGACGAAUUUUCUGCGAGAUGGAUUCAGGUCCGGUAGCGGAGGUAGCAUCUUGUUUGUCCUAAUCACCUGCACCGCAAACUUGUGCAGUGGGGAGUGUUCCUAAGAGUGAAGGUGUGGAAUUCACAUGAGACUAGGGGAGCAUUGAUGGAAAACAAGGUGUCCCAGACCGAGUAUGAGAAGUUGUUGGCGUUGGACAUAGCGUAUGACGAGGAGCAUCCUCUUGAUCCACGGGAUGCUGAUUGUAUGACAAAGACUGUCUCUCAAGGAACUCAGCCCCAGCAAGUGAAGGAUUUGGCGACGGAGGUGGUGGAGCAUGUAAUGUCAUGAAAAAUUUGACCCCGAGGCUUGAGACACUUAUGGGGGGUUUGCUCGGGAAAGCAUUUAGUCGAUUAGCAACAAAGAUGACUAUCAUGGUACCUGAUGAAUUUGUUACUGGCGGAAGCUUCCACUGCCAUGAAAAUGUCGGGAGUACCGGACCAACUGAUGAAGGUAGUCCUUCGAAAAAGGUUGGUGAUGAUUAUUCUGGUGAUAAUGUGAAUAGCUCACCCAUUUUGGAGGAAGAACCUAGGCCCAAAUAAGCUGAGUCCCUUUGAGAAGAGGCUUCUGUUCUUUGUUCGGGGGUGGAAGGAAUUGAAAAACGAUAAAUAGCCCGAUCCAAACUUGAUUCUUUGUAAUGGCAUAGAUGCAUCUCAAAGGGACUGUUGGAGAGUUGUUUUCUCGAGAUCCUGUGUUGAAAACCAUUAUGUUAGGAUGGCUUCUAUCAUUUAUACAAAAAUCUGGGCAUCACAACAUACGAGGAAAAGGAUUAUGAUGGAUCAUUCGUACGCGGUUAGGUUUCAGACUACUCUUUGUGGUUAAACAUCGUGCCCUUUUUUAUUUUUUAUUUUUUUGUAUUCGUACUUAACUAAAUUUUUUCUGUGGGUCAUAAAAUUUUGUUAUGCUGGGGAAAGAUGAUCCUAAACUGUUGGGGAAAAAGUACGGUAAGUCUUUCCUAAGUUAUCCCCUUGACCAAAUACAAAGUGUAUGUGUUCAGUUUGUGUUUAUUUUUGAUAGUAAAUUCACUGUUGUUUGGGAUGUGCAUAAUUAAAUUGGUUUACGAUUCACAUGUUUUUGUCCCUGUCCUUGAUUCAUCUAUGAAUAAUGCUGAACACUGGUUUUGCUUGGCCUUAGAUUUAAAGGCACAGUUGGUGUGAAUGAUUAAUUCUUUGUAUGAAGAUCUGUACUUAAAGCAUGAAAAGUUUUAUCUCCAGCCUGUAACCCCCGUUCAACUCUCUCUUUCCUUACUUUUAUUUCAAAUUUUGGUUUUCUAUUGGAUUAAUUUUUGUAUCACGAUGCACCAUUUGGUCCUUUUAGAUGAAGGCAUUGGAGGAGUUACUACAUCUUAGUGAUCCCACAUGGGAGGUGGGUACAACUUCUACAUGGUUGAGGAGGACAUUUCCGGUGCGACAGGCUGACACUUUCUCUUGUGGUGCAAUAAUGCUAGCAACUAUGAAGUAUUGUGCAUGAUCUUUUGAAGCUCCCUUUCACACGGAAAAAUAUGCCUCCUCCUUGAGGACCACACUGUUUCUUGAAGACGUGAAUAGUGACUUCAACGAGUUGAAGUCAAAGUUGGAGACGGUACCGCCAAAGUUAAGGAAAGACGCGGCGCUAGAAAGACAGGUUCUCAACUGACUUUGUAGGUGGAGUGGGUCAGUUUUGUUUUUGUGAAAAACUAAUUAUGAUGUUCUAAUAUUUAUAACAUAAUAUUAUUUUUUGA